AGUUAUAAAACAGAUUUUUAAAGGGGUCCACUCUUUCUUUUGAAAGAGAAUUGCAUCACCCCUACGCCUUUUUCUUUAAUCUUCCCAUCCCCGCACGUUCCUCACCUCCCAAAAUCCAAAUUUCAUUGGCAAUUCCUAAUUUUCCAGAAAAUCAUAGAUUCGUGACUUUUUCUUCUUCUCCAUAUCUUUUUUCUUGAAAAUACGACUUUCACCUCACCAUGGCCGCCUACAGUUAUCAGCGAAAUUUCCGCUCAACCAAUUGGUCAAAGACAAGAAAAAAUGUAAGAUUUGUAAAAUCUUUUUCUCAUCUUCUCUCUGAAUGCCUUCAUUUUUUUAGUUCAAAUAUGAAUUUUCAAGUUCGAAUUCGCUUAUAAAUAACCGUAUUUUUCAUCUCCAAAGGGACCCAGAAUUCACAUCCGAAGACACACACACAAAAAUUUAUGAAUCUACUAGUUGUACUACUUUCUUUUUGGUCUUCUCAGAUUUUUGAGUUUCGAGUUUUUGGACGAAAUCUUUGAGAUGUCAAAACCCUUCUUUGCUGCUCAAUAUAAGAGUGCUGGAGUUCCUACUUUUGAACUCGUUUUGGUCCAAAAUAAUGGGCCAACAGCUAUUAGGAUCGUCAGAGCUUGGUGUCUUGUAAAUUAGGAGUCAACAUCCCUUAGCCUUCCUUAUUACUGCUUUAAUUAUGUUUCUCUUAAUACAUUAAUUUAUUUAUAUAUAUGCUUACAUAUAUGUAGCUGAUACUAAUCUCUCUUUCUUUUUAUUUGAGAUUUUAUGUGGGCUAAUAUAUUA